AUGAGCCAUGCAUGCAUGUAUGUAGGCUGCGUGAAAGCUCUACUGCUCUUAACCGUGCAUGGGUUCUUAGAAAUAGCCAUUUCUCGGCCAGACGGGCAUUAUCAUUCAUUUUUUUUUCUUGAACCGGGCUUUACCCCCUUCCAUGGCAAGAGAACGGAAAUACAAACCAGUUCAAGUUGUCAGGAGGAGGGAAAGAGGGUAGAGCGAGUUCAAGCACUACCAGGAAACCCACCACAUUCGCUCGCCGUCGAAACGGAUGCCAUGGGGCGAAAACCUGGUAGCACCAACUUUGUCAUGUCUAUUACAAGCCAUAACCAACCGGGGAAAGCCGAGACAACACAAAACAAAUAG
rnacentral:rRNA from 1 species